rnacentral:miRNA from 1 species
ACAAUAGAGGGAGGAAUCACAG